rnacentral:rRNA from 1 species
AUUGAACGCUGGCGGCAGGCCUAACACAUGCAAGUCGAGCGGUAGAGAGAAGCUUGCUUCUCUUGAGAGCGGCGGACGGGUGAGUAAUGCCUAGGAAUCUGCCUGGUAGUGGGGGAUAACGUUCGGAAACGGACGCUAAUACCGCAUACGUCCUACGGGAGAAAGCAGGGGACCUUCGGGCCUUGCGCUAUCAGAUGAGCCUAGGUCGGAUUAGCUAGUUGGUGGGGUAAUGGCUCACCAAGGCGACGAUCCGUAACUGGUCUGAGAGGAUGAUCAGUCACACUGGAACUGAGACACGGUCCAGAGUCCGACGGGAGGCAGCAGUGGGGAAUAGUGGACAAUGGGCGAAAGCCUGAUCCAGCCAUGCCGCGUGUGUGAAGAAGGUCUUCGGAUUGUAAAGCACUUUAAGUUGGGAGGAAGGGCAGUAAAUUAAUACUUUGCUGUUUUGACGUUACCGACAGAAUAAGCACCGGCUAACUCUGUGCCAGCCGCCGCGGUAA